GAUGAACGCUAGCGGCAGGCCUAACACAUGCAAGUCGAGGGGCAUCAUAAAACAAGCUUGCUUGUUUGGUGGCGACCGGCGCACGGGUGCGUAACGCGUAUGCAACCUACCCUGUACUGGGGGAUAGCCCGGAGAAAUUCGGAUUAAGACCCCAUAGUAUUCUUGAAUGGCAUCAUUUGAGGAUUAAAGGUUACGGUACAGAACGGGCAUGCGUCCUAUUAGCUAGAUGGUGAGGUAACGGCUUACCAUGGCAACGAUAGGUAGGGGGCCUGAGAGGGUGGUCCCCCACACUGGUACUGUGACACGGACCAAACUCCUACGGGAGGCAGCAGUGAGGAAUAUUGGUCAAUGGGCGCAAGCCUGAACCAGCCAUGCCGCGUGCAGGAAGACGGUCCUAUGGAUUGUAAACUGCUUUUAUUUGGGAAUAAACCUCUUUACGUGUAGAGAGCUGAAGGUACCAAAUGAAUAAGCACCGGCUAACUCCGUGCCAGCCGCCGCGGUAACAC
rnacentral:rRNA from 1 species